rnacentral:tRNA from 1 species
GGUCCCGUGGUGUAGUGGUUAACAUGCCUGUCACGCAGGAGAUCGCCGGUUCGACCCCGGUCGGGACCGCCA